CGAUAUUUGAACGGAGAAACGAAGAAUCAAUUUUUUUCAUUAAUUUUUGUACAAUUUAUCUGUAAUAAUAAAACGAUACAUUGUAUAUUAAGUGUAUUACCGUUAUAUAAAUGAUUCUUUAAAGCAUUUAUUUUAUUUUACUAUUUUCUUUUCUGCUUUUGAUAGUUACGGUGUUUCACUAUAACAUCAGUGGCGCAUAAAUCCAUUUGUGUUACCCGUGCAAUUUAGUGGGUGGGCGGGUAUAAUGGUAGAUGAGAUGA